CCCUUCUCAGGGUUGCACCUGGAGGGUUUCCAGUACUCUACCAGUCUUGGCUACAGGAGGGAGAGUCAAGCAGAGGUCUACCCAUUCCAUUCCUAGCACGAGCAGUGGCUAGUGAGUGAAAGGAAAUCUGCUAUACAU